rnacentral:rRNA from 1 species
UACGUAGGGUGCAAGCGUUGUCCGGAAUUAUUAGGCGUAAAGAGCUCGUAGGCGGUUUGUCGCGUCUGCUGUGAAAACUCAGGGCUUAACCCUGAGCCUGCAGUGGGUACGGGCAGACUAGAGUGUGGUAGGGGAGAUCGGAAUUCCUGGUGUAGCGGUGGAAUGCGCAGAUAUCAGGAGGAACACCGGUGGCGAAGGCGGAUCUCUGGGCCAUAACUGACGCUGAGGAGCGAAAGCAUGGGGAGCGAACAGG